rnacentral:rRNA from 1 species
AGUGAACGCUGGCGGCGUGCCUAAUACAUGCAAGUCGAACGGAGUGGCGCAUGGGUGAGUAAUAUAUAGCUAACCUGCCCCUUGCUGGAGGACAACAGUUAGAAAUGACUGCUAAUACUCCAUAGCAAGGGAUGAGACUAUAUCGUAUCAGCUAGUCGGUGGGGUAACGGCCUACCGAGGCUAUGACGCGUAACUGGUCUGAGAGGAUGAUCACUCACGUUGGAAGUGAGACACGAUCCUAGCUCCUACGGGAGGCGGCGGUAGUGCGUAUUUCGCAGUGGGGGAGGCCCUCACGCAGCAACGCCGCGUGGAGGAGGUCACUUUUCGGAGCGUCCACUCCUUUUGUUAGGGAAGCGGUACAUAUCGAAUAAGCACCGGCUAACUCCGUGCCAGCCGCCGCGGUAAUUC